AUGCAAGUCGAACGCGCAGCGAAAGGUGCUUGCACCUUUCAAGCGAGUGGCGAACGGGUGAGUAACACGUGGAUAACCUGCCUCAAGGCUGGGGAUAACAUUUGGAAACAGAUGCUAAUACCGAAUAAAACUUAGUAUCGCAUGAUACAAAGUUGAAAGGCGCUACGGCGUCACCUAGAGAUGGGUCCGCGGUGCAUUAGUUAGUUGGUGGGGUAAAGGCCUACCAAGACAAUGAUGCAUAGCCGAGUUGAGAGACUGAUCGGCCACAUUGGGACUGAGACACGGCCCAAACUCCUACGGGAGGCUGCAGUAGGGAAUCUUCCACAAUGGGCGAAAGCCUGAUGGAGCAACGCCACGUGUGUGAUGAAGGCUUUAGGGUCGUAAAGCACUGUUGUAUGGGAAGAAAUGCUAGAAUAGGGAGUGAUUCUAGUUCGACGGUACCAUACCAGAAAGGGACGGCUAAAUACGUG
rnacentral:rRNA from 1 species